GAACUUUUAUUUUCCUCUCUAUCAUUGGUGGCCUGUGCGGCCGCCCUCUUCCUAAACAAGCACUCCCAGAGAGAGGCGGGGCUCAUAGAGCAUUGCUAAGCGACAAAGAGGCGCUCCGGGUCUGUCCAGUGAAAGAGCAGAGCGGGCGCAGGAGCUGUUGUGGCUGCCGGAUGGACCGCAGGUAGAGUCCAGUGAAUCACGGGGAUUGUAGUCCAUCAAUACUUUUCCCUAGCACCCCAGCACCACGACCACCCCGGAUUUGUAGGUCUUGAUCCUAUCCAGCUCCCGGAGCUCCAGGCUCCCACAAGCUUCCAACAUGUCAUCUAGUUCCUCUGAGCUGUUUGAGGAGUCUUGGCCUUCGAGUUCAGAGACCUCAUCCCCACCCAGCACCACUGAGGGACAAAUGGGGCCCUCCUCAUCACCCACCCUGAUUGACAGCGGGGAGUCUGUGGUGGCCAAGUAUAUAAAUAGGUUCCGCCAAGCUCAGCCCACAAGCCGAGAGGAACGACAGUGUGCAGGCCCAAUCCCAGCUGAUUUUUGGUGGCUGCAGACUGAGUCUUCAAACCCCAGCAGUCAACUUGCAGCAGGACCCAGUAAACCAGAGGGAAGACCCAGUCCAGCAGUCCCAGCUCCAGCCAAGAUUGUCAGCACAUCCCAGGCAGUGGCUCCCCUUCAGAAAAUAAAGCAGAGCCUGAACACGUGGAACUCAUCCCUGCUGGACCUGGAGACACUGAGCCUACAAAGCAGAGCUGCCACGCUGCUCAAACGCAGCAAGGCCUCCAUCUCUUCCUCAUCCCUCAGCCCCAGCGAUGCCAGCUGCUCCUCCUUCCCUGUCAGCUCCAAUGGCCUGUCUCCCUUCUCCAUGACCUUCAGCCCUGAGUCCCACAAGGACUCUGGGCCCAGAGCAGCUGCAGGCCCAGCGCCAGCCCAAGGCCCCACCCCUGCUCCAGCCCCAGCCUCCUCCCCAGCUCCCCUUCGGCCAGAGGAUGACAUUUUGUACCAGUGGCGGCAGCGUCGGAAGCUCGAACAGGCUCGAGGACGGGUGCAGCAGGGUGAUGGACCCUGCGUGCUGCCGCGGACCCCCGCGCUUGCCACCCAGCCUUCCGCCCCCGCGGUGACUCUUGGUUCCCCGGCGACCCAGCCUACCUGCGUCCCGCUGUGGGGCAGUGUGGCCCAGCCUGGUCCUCCAGAGGCCUUCUACGUGGAGAGACCUCCUGUUGGCCUAGGGUCCUCACCGCACAUCUUCUGGGCACCCAGCACCCACGGGUUCUUCUGGGCCCCACAGUCCAGCCCCUGGGUAUCUCUCGGGACCGUUCCUCCGCCACCGUUGGCCUCCACCCCGGUUCCCUCGGCUCCCCCGGCUCCCCCCACCUCCAUCCCGGCUCCCCCGGCCUCCUCCAUCCCAGCUCCCGCCACCACCAAUCCCACAUCCCCUGCCACCCACCAGAGCCCACCUAUCCCCGAGCCAGGCGUCUCUGCCCAGCCAGAGAAGGUGGGACCCAAGCCUCGGAAGGCCAGAGCUUCGCGCCCGGAGGCUGCGGGCGGAAUGACAGCCUCCAGCGAGGGGCCAGGCGCACAGCUCAGGGGCGCCCUGGGCCAGGUGGUGACCGCGCGGCUGUUCCCUGAAGGCCUGGAGGACACGCCCCCUCCCCUUGAGGGUGGCCCUUCGGGAGUCAAGGUCACGCCCCCCAGUGGAAGGGCCACGCCCCCUCCCUCGGAUUGCGCUAGUAGGUCUAAGGCUGGGAUAAGCCAGGCGAAGGCCACGCCCUCCCCGGAGGAGUCGGGGCUUCCAAAAGGCACCGGGGAAGCUGGGUCCCUGCCCCGCGGUGUCCUAACCUCUCCAACUGAGGUGUCCACACUCCCCGAGGCCCAGUCGCCCGGGCUGGAGUCGUGGUCUCUUGAGGCUGCGGCCCCACCCUCGCCCGAGGCUCACCGCUCCUCAUCCCCAUCCGAGGACCUGUUCUCCCAGGCCGCCAGACUUCUGGAAGCUGCAGAAGACUCCGACGGCAGCGAGUUUCAGGACGACCCUGUACUGCAGGUGCUUAGAGCCCAGAGGGCAGAUCUGCGGCUACAGAAAAGGUAGAGUCAAUGUCGCAUCCCUUUGAAACUUCGCCCCCUCAACAAAUAGAAUACAGAGGAAGGGAUGCAGCCUAACUUCCAAAGUUCAAUUCAAAAAGAUGAUACUGACUCCCUGGUUUCCUUUCUCUCAUGCUGUUAUUCUUUGACACUUGGUUUAGAGACUAUUUUUUUUUUAAUUGCCAUGAUAAGGAUGGAUUACACAGGUGUAUGCACUUACUAAUUUCAGUGAAAUUUGUGAAUUUCAUUGUAUAUUGAACUCUAGCUAAAGAUUUAUGUGCUAAAAUAUUUUGAGGAUGGUGCUGUCUGGAAUUUGUACUGAAAUACAUGCAAAGAUUAGUUAGAUUGAUAGGUAAUUAAGUAGAAAUGUGAGAUAAAGCAAAUAUAGUAAAAUGUUCGUAAUAGGAUUUAACUAUGGGCAUAUGGAUGUCCACUGUAAAAUUUUUCAACUUGCUGUAUGUUAAAAACUUGUCAUAAUAAAAUGAUGGAGAAUAUAUGAUCAGGAUUGUCUGGAUAUCUGUAUUGAUAAACAAAGGGAUAGAACAUUUAUAAUCCUAAUACUCAGGAGGCUGAAGCAGGUGCAUCACAAGUUCAAGGACAGCCUAGGCAAUUUUUAUAUGUCAGACAUGGUAAUUUUUUUUUUUUGAACAAGGCAUACAUUUAAAUGAAAUAGAAGGAGCUGUACUAAUUAGUAUUGCUGGGGAACAAACCUAACCCAAACUUACUGUCAUAAAACAAUCACUUUAUUUAUUUAUUUAGUCUUUUUUUCUUUUUUAAAAUUUAUUUUAAAAAUAAAAGAAGGAAAACAUAUUAACAAACAGACAUCCAUUUACAAAAUAGCAUAAGAAUAAUACAAACAAUACAGAGUUACAGACAAAGUUAUUUAGUCUUUUUGAGAAUGGGUCUCGCUAAGCAGUUCAGGCUGGCCUUGAGCUCACUUUGUAGCCCAGGCUGGUCUUGAACUCACAACAAUCCUCUUGCCUCAGCCUCCUGAAUGCUGGGAUUACAGGUGUGUGCCACCACAUCCAGGGCAAAACAAUCACUUUAUUAUGCUCAUGGAUUCUGAGUCAGAAAUUUGGACUCAGAGGUGGGGAGAGUUUGUCUCUUUGUGGGAUCUGGAAAACCUUAAAAGGUGACUUGAUUGGAUGGUUGUGGGGUAGAACACUUUAGAACUUCAUUUAUAGUCUAGCACCAGGGCUGAGAAAACUCAAAGGCUGGGCCCAGCAGGGACUGUCAAAUGUACUCCCAAUACACAUCUCCAUCAGCUGGGUUUCCUCAAAGCAUGGCCACCUCUGCAUAGUCACAUUUCUCAUAUAAAACAUCACGAUCCUUAGCCAGAACCCCAUGGUUCAUUCUAAUGGACAAAUACGAACUUGCAUUGCCUUUUACGAGCUGUCCUUUAAAGUCUCAUACUGUCAGUUCCACUAUUUUCUUUUCUUUUUCUUUUU
ensembl:lincRNA